AUGAUGUAUGAAGGGAUACUGAGCAAGCUGAGCUUCCUCUUCCUUAGAAAGAAACAGUGAUACAGCUUUAUGGAAAUAAGCCCUGUUAAAAGCUAAGAAAGCUUGCUGUGUCACUCUUACAUGAAGAGAUCAAAAUAUAACAAGGAGGGGGAAGAAGAAUAAGUGCUUACUAUCCUUCCAGAAAACACGAGGCAGUAAAGUUACACGGAAGGUAUGGCAGAACAGAACUAAAAGUUGGUUUUAAGUUUUGUUUCCCGUGAAUACCAUUUUAGUGGAACAGUAUUACAACAGAUAUCCUCAUUGUGCCUGUCUGGUCUCUACUGAAAAAUACUUGGUCUUCCCCAUCUCGUGGAAAAACUAUUAGAUAGAUGCUU
rnacentral:lncRNA from 1 species